GUCUCAUUGGCUCAGGGCCGAGCAUUUGUCUAGUAAACAGAAGGUGGCUGAUUCGAUUCCAGCCUGAGGCA
rnacentral:tRNA from 1 species